rnacentral:rRNA from 1 species
UACGUAGGGUGCGAGCGUUAAUCGGAAUUACUGGGCGUAAAGUGUGCGCAGGCGGCAGAGCAAGUCGAGUGUGAAAGCCCCGGGCUUAACUUGGGAAUUGCGCUCGAAACUACGUGGCUGGAGUGUGGCAGAGGAAGGUGGAAUUCCACGUGUAGCGGUGAAAUGCGUAGAGAUGUGGAGGAACACCAAUGGCGAAGGCAGCCUUCUGGGCCAACACUGACGCUCAUGCACGAAAGCGUGGGGAGCAAACAGG